UACGUAGGGUGCGAGCGUUAAUCGGAAUUACUGGGCGUAAAGCGUGCGUAGGCGGUUUUGUAAGUCAGGCGUGAAAUCCCCGAGCUUAACUUGGGAAUGGCGCUUGUGACUGCAAGGCUAGAGUAUGUCAGAGGGGGGUAGAAUUCCACGUGUAGCAGUGAAAUGCGUAGAGAUGUGGAGGAAUACCGAUGGCGAAGGCAGCCCCCUGGGACGUCACUGACGCUCAUGCACGAAAGCGUGGGGAGCAAACAGG
rnacentral:rRNA from 1 species